rnacentral:rRNA from 1 species
AGUGAACGCUGGCGGUAGGCCUAACACAUGCAAGUCGAACGGCAGCACAGUAAGAGCUUGCUCUUACGGGUGGCGAGUGGCGGACAGGUGAGGAAUACAUCGGAAUCUACUUUUUCGUGGGGGAUAACGUAGGGAAACUUACGCUAAUACCGCAUAUGACCUACGGGUGAAAGCAGGGGAUCUUCGGACCUUGCGCGAUUGAAUGAGCCGAUGUCGGAUUAGCUAGUUGGCGGGGUAAAGGCCCACCAAGGCGACGAUCCGUAGCUGGUCUGAGAGGAUGAUCAGCCACACUGGAACUGAGACACGGUCCAGACUCCUACGGGAGGCAGCAGUGGGGAAUAUUGGACAAUGGGCGCAAGCCUGAUCCAGCCAUACCGCGUGGGUGAAGAAGGCCUUCGGGUUGUAAAGCCCUUUUGUUGGGAAAGAAAAGCAGCAGGUUAAUACCCCGCUGUUCUGACGGUACCCAAAGAAUAAGCACCGGCUAACUUCGU